CAGUAGCCACGGUAAUACGAAGGGUGCAAGCGUUAAUCGGAAUUACUGGGCGUAAAGCGUGCGUAGGCGGUGAGUUAAGUCUGCUGUGAAAUCCCCGGGCUCAACCUGGGAAUGGCAGUGGAUACUGGCUCGCUAGAGUGUGUCAGAGGAUGGUGGAAUUCCCGGUGUAGCGGUGAAAUGCGUAGAGAUCGGGAGGAACAUCAGUGGCGAAGGCGGCCAUCUGGGACAACACUGACGCUGAGGCACGAAAGCGUGGGGAGCAAACAGGAUUAGAUACCCGAGUAGUCCCUGUCUCUUAUAA
rnacentral:rRNA from 1 species